rnacentral:rRNA from 1 species
CCUACGGGAGGCAGCAGUGAGGAAUAUUGGUCAAUGGGCGGAAGCCUGAACCAGCAAAGUAGCGUGCAGGAUGACGGCCCUACGGGUUGUAAACUGCUUUUAUACGGGAAUAACGCGCCUUACGUGUAGGGCUUUGCAUGUACCGUAUGAAUAAGGACCGGCUAAUUCCGUGCCAGCAGCCGCGGUAAUACGGAAGGUCAGGGCGUUAUCCGGAUUUAUUGGGUUGAAAGGGAGCGUAGGCCGCAUGUCAAGCGUGCUGUGAAAUGUCCGGGCUCAACCCGGGCCUUGCAGCGCGAACUGGCGUGCUUGAGUGCGCGGAAGGCAGGCGGAAUUCGUCGUGUAGCGGUGAAAUGCUUAGAUAUGACGAAGAACCCCGAUUGCGAAGGCGGCUUGCUGGGCUUUUACUGACGCUGAGGCUCGAAAGCGUGGGGAGCAAACAGGAUUAGAUACCCCGGUAGUC